CGAACGGGAAAUCACCGGCUCGCGCGAACUCAGCCAAUGGGGAUCGAUGGGGCGCGCGCGAACCAGGAUUUAUCUUUAAUCUUGGAGGAUCCUGGCCUAAUUACCAGUUGGAAGAAAAAAGAAUCAUAGCUGACAGUUAAAAUCCUAUUCAGGAAGGAACCAAAAUAUACUGCAGAGGCUUCAGCACUGCAUUGAGUUUCACCAUACUUCAAAGGCUUGUGCAAGGAUUAGGGUGAUUUACAUAGUACUGUACUCCUGAACUAUUCUAGAAAUAUAGUGACUGUGUCUCUAUGGAAUGUUUAGAUUCUUUAAUAUGUCCAUCUAGAUUGUUGACUGCUCUGUAUCUUCAACUGUAAAUAAAAUGUUCUCUUUUCCUCACCCCAUUCCACCCUUCUGUCAUAGUUUAAAUACUUUUGAGCAUUACAUGCCUGUCCUUCACUAAAUAGUCAGGUCCCAGUUUUACAGUCUAUUUUAACUUCAAUAGGAGCAGAGUUAGGCCA